rfam:Prunus persica cultivar Lovell chromosome G8, whole genome shotgun sequence.
AUCCCAGAUAAGCUGAGAAUUGGUGCUUAUCUGAUUCAUAGGAGGCCAAAAUCAACUCUGGAGGUUUCGCUGAUAAAUGCCUGUUUUUUUUCAUCAUCGCAAGGCGUUUACUAGUAACUUUCCAUACAUAU